rnacentral:rRNA from 1 species
GUAAGCUACUAAGAGCGAAUGGUGGAUGCCUUGACUGGUAAAGGCGAUGAAGGACGUACUAGACUGCGAUAAGCUACGGGGAGCUGUCAAGAAGCUUUGAUCCGUAGAUUUCCGAAUGGGGCAACCCAAUGUAUAGAGAUAUACAUUACCUAUAUAGGAGCGAACGAGGGGAAUUGAAACAUCUUAGUACCCUCAGGAAAAGAAAUCAAUAGAGAUUGCGUCAGUAGCGGCGAGCGAAAGCGCAAGAGGGCAAACCCAGUGCUUGCACUGGGGGUUGUAGGACUGCAAUGUGCAAGAGGUGAGUUUAGCAGAACAUUCUGGAAAGUAUAGCCAUAGAGGGUGAUAGUCCCGUAUGCGAAAAACAAACCUUAGCUAGCAGUAUCCUGAGUAGGGCGGGACACGAGAAAUCCUGUCUGAAGCUGGGUCGACCACGAUCCAACCCUAAAUACUAAUACCAGAUCGAUAGUGCACAAGUACCGUGAGGGAAAGGUGAAAAGAACUGAGGUGAUCAGAGUGAAAUAGAACCUGAAACCAUUUGCUUACAAUCAUUCAGAGCACUAUGUAGCAAUACAGUGUGAUGGACUGCCUUUUGCAUAAUGAGCCUGCGAGUUGUGGUGUCUGGCAAGGUUAAGCAAACGCGAAGCCGUAGCGAAAGCGAGUCUGAAUAGGGCGCUUAGUCAGAUGCUGCAGACCCGAAACGAAGUGAUCUAUCCAUGAGCAAGUUGAAGCUAGUGUAAGAACUAGUGGAGGACUGAACCCAUAGGCGUUGAAAAGCCCCGGGAUGACUUGUGGAUAGGGGUGAAAGGCCAAUCAAACUUCGUGAUAGCUGGUUCUCUCCGAAAUAUAUUUAGGUAUAGCGUUGUGUCGUAAUAUAAGGGGGUAGAGCACUGAAUGGGCUAGGGCAUACACCAAUGUACCAAACCCUAUCAAACUCCGAAUACCUUAUAUGUAAUCACAGCAGUCAGGCGGCGAGUGAUAAAAUCCGUCGUCAAGAGGGAAACAACCCAGACUACCAGCUAAGGUCCCUAAAUCUUACUUAAGUGGAAAACGAUGUGAAGUUACUUAAACAACCAGGAGGUUGGCUUAGAAGCAGCCAUCCUUUAAAGAAAGCGUAAUAGCUCACUGGUCUAGUGAUUUUGCGCGGAAAAUAUAACGGGGCUAAAGUAAGUACCGAAGCUGUAGACUUGACUUUGUCAAGUGGUAGGAGAGCGUUCUAUUUGCGUCGAAGGUAUACCGGUAAGGAGUGCUGGAGCGAAUAGAAGUGAGCAUGCAGGCAUGAGUAGCGAUAAUUAAUGUGAGAAUCAUUAACGCCGUAAACCCAAGGUUUCCUACGCGAUGCUCGUCAUCGUAGGGUUAGUCGGGUCCUAAGUCGAGUCCGAAAGGGGUAGACGAUGGCAAAUUGGUUAAUAUUCCAAUACCAACAUUAGUGUGCGAUGGAAGGACGCUUAGGGCUAAGGGGGCUAGCGGAUGGAAGUGCUAGUCUAAGGUCGUAGGUGCUUAUACAGGCAAAUCCGUAUAAGAAUACACCGAGAACUGAAAGGCUUUUUGAAGUCUUCGGAUGGAUAGAAGAACCCCUGAUGCCGUCGAGCCAAGAAAAGUUUCUAAGUUUAGCUAAUGUUGCCCGUACCGUAAACCGACACAGGUGGGUGGGAUGAGUAUUCUAAGGCGCGUGGAAGAACUCUCUUUAAGGAACUCUGCAAAAUAGCACCGUAUCUUCGGUAUAAGGUGUGGUUCGCUUCGUAUUAGGAUUUACUCCGAAAGCGAAGAAACUUACAACAAAGAGUCCCUCCCGACUGUUUACCAAAAACACAGCACUCUGCUAACUCGUAAGAGGAUGUAUAGGGUGUGACGCCUGCCCGGUGCUCGAAGGUUAAUUGAUGGGGUUAGCAUUAGCGAAGCUCUUGAUCGAAGCCCGAGUAAACGGCGGCCGUAACUAUAACGGUCCUAAGGUAGCGAAAUUCCUUGUCGGUUAAAUACCGACCUGCAUGAAUGGCGUAACGAGAUGGGAGCUGUCUCAAAGAGGGAUCCAGUGAAAUUGUAGUGGAGGUGAAAAUUCCUCCUACCCGCGGCAAGACGGAAAGACCCCGUGGACCUUUACUACAGCUUGACACUGCUAUUUGGAUAAGAAUGUGCAGGAUAGGUGGGAGGCUUUGAGUAUAUGACGCCAGUUGUAUAUGAGCCAUUGUUGAGAUACCACUCUUUCUUAUUUGGGUAGCUAACCAGCUUGAGUUAUCCUCAAGUGGGACAAUGUCUGGUGGGUAGUUUGACUGGGGCGGUCGCCUCCCAAAUAAUAACGGAGGCUUACAAAGGUUGGCUCAGAACGGUUGGAAAUCGUUCGUAGAGUAUAAAGGUAUAAGCCAGCUUAACUGCAAGACAUACAAGUCAAGCAGAGACGAAAGUCGGUCUUAGUGAUCCGGUGGUUCUGUGUGGAAGGGCCAUCGCUCAAAGGAUAAAAGGUACCCCGGGGAUAACAGGCUGAUCUCCCCCAAGAGCUCACAUCGACGGGGAGGUUUGGCACCUCGAUGUCGGCUCAUCGCAUCCUGGGGCUGGAGCAGGUCCCAAGGGUAUGGCUGUUCGCCAUUUAAAGCGGUACGCGAGCUGGGUUCAGAACGUCGUGAGACAGUUCGGUCCCUAUCUGCCGUGGGCGUAAGAAGAUUGAAGAGAUUUGACCCUAGUACGAGAGGACCGGGUUGAACAAACCACUGGUGUAGCUGUUGUUCUGCCAAGAGCAUCGCAGCGUAGCUAAGUUUGGAAAGGAUAAACGCUGAAAGCAUCUAAGCGUGAAGCCAACUCUAAGAUGAAUCUUCUCUAAGCUCUCUAGAAGACUACUAGUUUGAUAGGCUGGGUGUGUAAUGGAUGAAAGUCCUUUAGCUGACCAGUACUAAUAGAGCGUUUGGCUUAUCUUUA